rnacentral:rRNA from 1 species
UGGGGAAUUUUGGACAAUGGGCGCAAGCCUGAUCCAGCCAUGCCGCGUGCAGGAUGAAGGCCUUCGGGUUGUAAACUGCUUUUGUACGGAACGAAAAGGUGCCUUCUAAUAAAGGGCGCUCAUGACGGUACCGUAAGAAUAAGCACCGGCUAACUACGUGCCAGCAGCCGCGGUAAUACGUAGGGUGCGAGCGUUAAUCGGAAUUACUGGGCGUAAAGCGUGCGCAGGCGGUUUUGUAAGACAGAGGUGAAAUCCCCGGGCUCAACCUGGGAACUGCCUUUGUGACUGCAAGGCUGGAGUGCGGCAGAGGGGGAUGGAAUUCCGCGUGUAGCAGUGAAAUGCGUAGAUAUGCGGAGGAACACCAAUGGCGAAGGCAAUCCCCUGGGCCUGCACUGACGCUCAUGCACGAAAGCGUGGGGAGCAAACA